rnacentral:rRNA from 1 species
UAAUACGUAGGGUGCAGGCGUUAAUCGGAAUUACUGGGCGUAAAGCGUGCGCAGGCGGUUUCUUAAGUCAGAUGUGAAAGCCCCGGGCUUAACCUGGGAACUGCGUUUGAAACUGGGAGACUUGAGUGUGGCAGAGGGGGGUGGAAUUCCACGUGUAGCAGUGAAAUGCGUAGAUAUGUGGAGGAACACCAAUGGCGAAGGCAGCCCCCUGGGUCAACACUGACGCUCAUGCACGAAAGCGUGGGGAGCAAACAGGAUUAGAUACCCUGGUAGUCCACGCCCUAAACGAUGUCAACUGGUUGUUGGGGGAUUAACUCCCUUAGUAACGAAGCUAACGCGUGAAGUUGACCGCCUGGGGAGUACGGCCGCAAGGUUA